AGCCGGGUGGCCUAGUGGUUAGGGCGUUAGCCGCGUAAGCUAAAGACACCGGUUCGAUUCCGACCUUGGCCA